rnacentral:rRNA from 1 species
UGAGGAUUGACAGAUUGANAGCUCUUUCUUGAUUCAAUGGGUGGUGGUGCAUGGCCGUUCUUAGUUGGUGGAGUGAUUUGUCUGGUUAAUUCCGAUAACGAACGAGACCCCGGCCUGCUAAAAGNCCANC